rnacentral:rRNA from 1 species
AGGCAGCAGUGAGGAAUAUUGGUCAAUGGGAGAGAUCCUGAACCAGCCAAGCCGCGUGAGGGAAGACGGCCCUAUGGGUUGUAAACCUCUUUUGUCGGAGAACAAAACCCGGGACGUGUCCCGGACUGCGUGUAUCCGAAGAAAAAGCAUCGGCUAACUCCGUGCCAGCAGCCGCGGUAAUACGGAGGAUGCGAGCGUUAUCCGGAUUUAUUGGGUUUAAAGGGUGCGUAGGCGGUCCGUUAAGUCAGCGGUAAAAUUGCGGGGCUCAACCCCGUCGAGCCGUUGAAACUGGCAGACUUGAGUUGGCGAGAAGUACGCGGAAUGCGCGGUGUAGCGGUGAAAUGCAUAGAUAUCGCGCAGAACUCCGAUUGCGAAGGCAGCGUACCGGCGCCAGACUGACGCUGAGGCACGAAAGCGUGGGGAUCGAACAGGAUUCGAUACCCUGGUAGUCCACGCAG